rnacentral:rRNA from 1 species
GAUGAACGCUGGCGGCGUGCCUAAUACAUGCAAGUCGAGCGAAUGGAUUAAGAGCUUGCUCUUAUGAAGUUAGCGGCGGACGGGUGAGUAACACGUGGGUAACCUGCCCAUAAGACUGGGAUAACUCCGGGAAACCGGGGCUAAUACCGGAUAACAUUUUGAACCGCAUGGUUCGAAAUUGAAAGGCGGCUUCGGCUGUCACUUAUGGAUGGACCCGCGUCGCGUUAGCUAGUUGGUGAGGUAACGGCUCACCAAGGCAACGAUGCGUAGCCGACCGGGGAGGGGGAGCGGCCACACUGGGACUGAGAGACGGCCCAGACUCCUAGGGGAGGCAGCAGUAGGGAAUCUUCCGCAAUGGACGAAAGUCUGACGGAGCAACGCCGCGUGAGUGAUGAAGGCUUUCGGGUCGUAAAACUCUGUUGUUAGGGAAGAACAAGUGCUAGUUGAAUAAGCUGGCACCUUGACGGUACCUAACCAGAAAGCCACGGCUAACUACGUGCCAGCCGCCGCAGUAA